AUUGAACGCUGGCGGCAUGCCUUACACAUGCAAGUCGAACGGCAGCACGGACUUCGGUCUGGCGGCGAGUGGCGAACGGGUGAGUAAUACAUCGGAACGUGCCCGAUCGUGGGGGAUAACGGAGCGAAAGCUUUGCUAAUACCGCAUACGAUCUACGGAUGAAAGCAGGGGACCGCAAGGCCUUGCGCGGACGGAGCGGCCGAUGGCAGAUUAGGUAGUUGGUGGGAUAAAAGCUUACCAAGCCGACGAUCUGUAGCUGGUCUGAGAGGACGACCAGCCAGACUGGGACUGAGAAACGGCCCAGACUCCUACGGGAGGCAGCAGUGGGGAAUUUUGGACAAUGGGCGCAAGCCUGAUCCAGCCAUGCCGCGUGCAGGAUGAAGGCCUUCGGGUUGUAAACUGCUUUUGUACGGAACGAAACGGCUCUUUCUAAUAAAGAGGGCUAAUGACGGUACCGUAAGAAUAAGCACCGGCUAACUACGUGCCAGCAGCCGCGGUAA
rnacentral:rRNA from 1 species